AGCGGAAGGGCUCCCCUGGGGAGACUGCGAGGGGCGGUCCUAGCACCUCACCUCCCAAACUCCGGUGACGCCCGCUGCCUGAGGAGACCUGUUGUUUGGAUUGUCGGAAGGAGACCAUGAGGAUUCUGGGAAAGGGACCCCCAGUGUUAGCGAGACCCGCCUGUGCGGAAUGGCUGCCCAGGAAUCCUUUCGCCACGCUGAGACAGAGCGGCUGACAGAAAUGCUUGCCAGCAUCCUAAACCAGCUGGGUGCAGACGGUCUGACUAGUUUAAGGAGACCGGCUGAAGUUCUGCCCAAACAAUCUGUGGAUGGAAAAGCACCACUUGCUCCUGGAGGAGGAAGAGGAGGAGGAGGAGGAAGUUCCAGAUCUGGUGGAGAAUUUUGAUGAGGCUUCCAAGAACGAGGCACACUGAAUUGAAGCAACUUCAGGAGAGGGUGACUUGCAGAAGUUACUGUAGCUGUUAUUU
rnacentral:lncRNA from 1 species